GGGUUGUGAGGUUAAGCGACUAAGCGUACACGGUGGAUGCCCUGGCAGUCAGAGGCGAUGAAGGGCGUGCUAAUCUGCGAUAAGCGCCGGUAAGGUGAUAUGAACCGUUAUAACCGGCGAUACCCGAAUGGGGAAACCCAGUGUGAUUCGUCACACUAUCAUUAACUGAAUCCAUAGGUUAAUGAGGCGAACCGGGGGAACUGAAACAUCUAAGUACCCCGAGGAAAAGAAAUCAACCGAGAUUCCCCCAGUAGCGGCGAGCGAACGGGGAGGAGCCCAGAGCCUGAAUCAGCAUGUGUGUUAGUGGAAGCGUCUGGAAAGGCGCGCGAUACAGGGUGACAGCCCCGUACACAAAAGCGUAUGUGCUGUGAGCUCGAUGAGUAGGGCGGGACACGUGGUAUCCUGUCUGAAUAUGGGGGGACCAUCCUCCAAGGCUAAAUACUCCUGACUGACCGAUAGUGAACCAGUACCGUGAGGGAAAGGCGAAAAGAACCCCGGCGAGGGGAGUGAAAAAGAACCUGAAACCGUGUACGUACAAGCAGUGGGAGCACCCUUUGGGGUGUGACUGCGUACCUUUUGUAUAAUGGGUCAGCGACUUAUAUUCUGUAGCAAGGUUAACCGAAUAGGGGAGCCGGAGGGAAACCGAGUCUUAAUUGGGCGUUAAGUUGCAGGGUAUAGACCCGAAACCCGGUGAUCUAGCCAUGGGCAGGUUGAAGGUUGGGUAACACUAACUGGAGGACCGAACCGACUAAUGUUGAAAAAUUAGCGGAUGACCUGUGGCUGGGGGUGAAAGGCCAAUCAAACCGGGAGAUAGCUGGUUCUCCCCGAAAGCUAUUUAGGUAGCGCCUCGUGAAUUCAUCUCCGG
rnacentral:rRNA from 1 species